UACGUAGGGGGCUAGCGUUGUCCGGAAUCAUUGGGCGUAAAGAGCUCGUAGGCGGUCUGUUGCGUCCGCUGUGAAAACUCGGGGCUUAACCCCGAGCCUGCAGUGGAUACGGGCAGACUAGAGGUAGGUAGGGGAGAAUGGAAUUCCCGGUGUAGCGGUGAGAUGCGCAGAUAUCGGGAGGAACACCGGUGGCGAAGGCGGUUCUCUGGGCCUUACCUGACGCUGAGGAGCGAAAGCGUGGGGAGCGAACAGG
rnacentral:rRNA from 1 species